rnacentral:lncRNA from 1 species
GAAAAACAAUGACCUAGAAGAUGAAAUCCAACCAGAACUAAUUAGAAAUAUAUGUCACACUAUACCUUAUGAAUCGUAUUAUCUCUUUAAUAGCAGAUAUUAUAAGUGGACCAGUGAUGUCCCAAUCAGAGGACCAAUGGCUGGGGUGAUGGCAAAACUAGUAAUACAAUAUAAAAAAGUACGGCUAUCUAAAAAUUCAUUACAAACACAAAGUACUAGGCUUAUUAUGUUGAUGAUCUGUUCUUAAUAAUAAAGAUAUACAACCUAACACAAUCAUAAAUGUUCUCUCAGAUAAUUCUUUAGGAAUGACUUUAAAACAGUCAACAGUCAAAUUCUAAUAUUCAUUUCCUGAAUACAUCUAUAGAGAAAAUAAAUGGAAUAUUUAAUUUAACUGUUAUACUGCAAACUGACAUUUGCAUAUUAAUGAUUGCAUCUUGAAAAUCCUUUUAAAUACAAAAUGGCAACAAUAAAAGCACUUCUCUGCCAUGUAAGGACACACUGUACAAUGCAGGAAGCAAAAAUUAAAGAAUUAAAUGUAAUUAUUGAACGUGCAAUGAAAAAUAGAUAUACAUCAUCCUUAGUAAUGAAGCUAUAUAGAAAUAUAGAAUCAUUGAACAAUAGAUACACCUACACCUAUACAACUCUAAUAAAUCAGUCUCAACCAACAAGAAUGCCAUUUACAGUAAAAACAGAACAAAAUAUGAGCCUCGCUAUAUCACAUAAAAUCAAAACUUAAAAAUGGCUUAAUAUAGAACUUUUCAUACACACAACAAAAAAUAAAAUAUGAUAGAUCUAUGGAAUGAUAAAUUCAAACAAUACUAUGAUAUUUCCUCUGGAGUGUACAUCAUUCCAGCAAGAAACAAUACAGGAAAUGAGGAAAUCUACUUCAGAAUAUAAAAAGAAGUUUAAAAACAAGAUUCUUAAGCAUAAAUGUGACAAAGCCAUGGAAACUUAGCAUGCUUGCAUAAAGAUUUUACAAGACAUCUCUCCAUAGAUUGGAGACAAGCACAUAUUUUUAAUCAUAUGACAAAUGCUGAGGAGUUGAAACUUGCAGAAGCCUUUGAAAUAAAUAACUGGAAAAAAGCA